CCGUCCUCCCCGCAUCUUCCUCCUUUUUCUUCAGCACGAUUGGAGGCCGCGGUGGACGCACAGUAUCCCCUGUCUGUUUAGGAGGGCUGCACACAGUUUGAGUGCUCACCCUUAAAGGCAUGGCAGCACACA